rfam:Schistosoma rodhaini strain Burundi genome assembly, scaffold: SROB_scaffold0007976
CCACUGCUAAGUAGUCCCAUAAUAGGACGAAACGGCCGUCCAGUGC